rnacentral:rRNA from 1 species
GACGGAGGGGGCUAGCGUUGUUCGGAAUGACUGGGCGUAAAGGGCGCGUAGGCGGUUUUUUAAGUGAGGCGUGAAAGCCCUGGGCUUAACCCAGGAGGUGCGUUUCAUACUGGAAAGCUUGAGUGCGAGAGAGGAAAGUGGAAUUCCUAGUGUAGAGGUGAAAUUCGUAGAUAUUAGGAAGAACACCAGUGGCGAAGGCGACUUUCUAGCUCGCAACUGACGCUGAGGCGCGAAAGCGUGGGGAGCAAACAGG